CACGAACCGUCCAAGCGUUAUCCGGAAUCAUUGGGUUUAAAGGGUCCGUAGGCGGGUUAAUAAGUUAGUGGUGAAAGUCUGCAGCUCAACUGUAGAAUUGCCAUCGAUACUGUUAACCUUGAGUAAUUAUGAAGUGGUUAGAAUAUGUAGUGUAGCGGUGAAAUGCAUAGAUAUUACAUAGAAUACCGAUUGCGAAGGCAGAUCACUAAUAAUGUACUGACGCUGAUGGACGAAAGCGUAGGUAGCGAGCAGG
rnacentral:misc_RNA from 1 species